AUUAAAAUCUUUUACCCAUUUUUUAACUGGCUUAUUGGAUUUUUUUCCUAUACAGUUGUUUGAGUUCCUAAUACAUUCUAGCUAUUAAUCCCUUCUGAGAUGGAUAGUUUCUUUGCAAAUAUUUCCUCCCAUUCUGUGGGUUGUGUCUUCAUUAUUUCCUUUGCUGUGCAGAAAUAUUGAAUUUUAUCAAAUGCUUUUUCAGAAACAAUUAAAAUAAUCAUAUGGUUUUAGUACUUCAUUCUGAUGAUAUGAUAUAUCACA
rnacentral:lncRNA from 1 species